rnacentral:tRNA from 1 species
GGCGCAUGGCCUGGGCGCCAUCGACGCGCUCGAUCUCGCACGCCGGGCCAUGGGCCUCGUACGAGGUGGCCGCGCGUUCGGCUUAUGCGCGCGCCA